GACGAACGCUGGCGGCGUGCUUAACACAUGCAAGUCGAACGGAAAGGCCCCUUUGGGGGUACUCGAGUGGCGAACGGGUGAGUAACACGUGAGUAACCUGCCCUUGACUUCGGGAUAACUUCAGGAAACUGGGGCUAAUACCGGAUAGGAAUCCUUGCUGCAUGGUGGGGGUUGGAAAGCUUCGGCGGUUUUGGAUGGACUCGCGGCUUAUCAGCUUGUUGGUGGGGUAGUGGCUUACCAAGGCUCUGACGGGUAGCCGGCCUGAGAGGGCGACCGGCCACAUUGGGACUGAGAUACGGCCCAGACUCCUACGGGAGGCAGCAGUGGGGAAUAUUGCACAAUGGGCGGAAGCCUGAUGCAGCAACGCCGCGUGCGGGAUGACGGCCUUCGGGUUGUAAACCGCUUUCAGCAGGGGCGAAGCUUGUGGUGACGGUACCUGCAGAAGAAGCACCGGCUAACUACGUG
rnacentral:rRNA from 1 species